rnacentral:rRNA from 1 species
CCGGGCGACCGGCGCACGGGUGAGUAACACGUAUGCAACCUGGCCGCCACAGGGGGAUAACCCGCGGAAACGCGGCCUAAUACCCCGUGACGCCACCGGAGGGCAUCCUCCGGUGGCCAAAGGAGCGAUCCGGUGGCGGAUGGGCAUGCGGCGCAUUAGCUAGACGGCGGGGUGACGGCCCACCGUGGCGACGAUGCGUAGGGGUUCUGAGAGGAAGGCCCCCCACACUGGGACUGAGACACGGCCCAGACUCCUACGGAAGGCAGCAG